AAAUUGAAGAGUUUGAUCAUGGCUCAGAUUGAACGCUGGCGGCAGGCCUAACACAUGCAAGUCGAACGGUAACAGGAAGCAGCUUGCUGCUUCGCUGACGAGUGGCGGACGGGUGAGUAAUGUCUGGGAAACUGCCUGAUGGAGGGGGAUAACUACUGGAAACGGUAGCUAAUACCGCAUAAUGUCGCAAGACCAAAGAGGGGGCCCUUCGGGCCUCUU
rnacentral:rRNA from 1 species